CUGCUGCCUUCCGUAGGAGUUUGGGCCGUGUCUCAGUCCCAAUGUGGCCGGUCACCCUCUCAGGUCGGCUACUGAUCGUCGGCUUGGUGGGCCGUUACCCCGCCAACUACCUAAUCAGACGCGGGUCCAUCCUGUACCACCGGAGUUUUUCACACCGGACCAUGCGGUCCUGUGCGCUUAUGCGGUAUUAGCAGUCAUUUCUAACUGUUCGUCCCCCCGUACAGGGCAGGUUACCCACGCGUUACUCACCCGUCCGCCACUCAGUCAUCCCGG
rnacentral:rRNA from 1 species